AGCGAACGCUGGCGGCAAGCUUAACACAUGCAAGUCGAGCGCCCCGCAAGGGGAGCGGCCGACGGGAGAGUAACACGUGGGAACAUACCUUUUGGUUCGGAACAACUGAGGGAAACUUCAGCUAAUACCGGAUAAGCCCUUACGGGGAAAGAUUUAUCGCCGAAAGAUUGGCCCGCGUCUGAUUAGCUAGUUGGUGAGGUAACGGCUCACCAAGGCGACGAUCAGUAGCUGGUCUGAGAGGAUGAUCAGCCUCACUGGGACUGAGACACGGCCCAGAUUCCUACGGGAGGCAGCAGUGGGGAAUAUUGGACAAUGGGGGCAACCCUGAUCCAGCCAUGCCGCGUGAGUGAUGAAGGCCUUAGGGUUGUAAAGCUCUUUUGCCCGGGAAGAUAAUGACGGUACCGGGAGAAUAAGCCCCGGCUAACUUCGUG
rnacentral:rRNA from 1 species